UUCUGACACGACAUUUACGAG
rnacentral:piRNA from 1 species